AAAUGAAUAGACGGGGGCCCGCACAAGCGGAGGAACAUGUGGUUUAAUUCGAUGAUACGCGAGGAACCUUACCCGGGCUCAAACGUUGGGGGAAUAAUUUGGAAACAGAUUAGCUAGCAAUAGCCGCCAACGAGGUGCUGCAUGGUUGUCGUCAGCUCGUGCCGUGAGGUGUCGGCUUAAGUGCCAUAACGAGCGCAACCCUUAUCAAUAGUUACUAACAGGUCAAGCUGAGGACUCAAUUGAGACUGCCGGCGCAAGCCGCGAGGAAGGUGGGGAUGACGUCAAAUCAGCACGGCCCUUACGUCCGGGGCGACACACGUGUUACAAUGGUAUGAACAAAGGGAAGCCACGUAGCAAUACGGCGCCGAUCCCCAAAUCAUAUCUCAGUUCGGAUCGGAGUCUGCAACUCGACUCCGUGAAGCUGGAUUCGCUAGUAAUCGCGCAUCAGCCAUGGCGCGGUGAAUACGUUCCCGGGCCUUGUACACACCGCCCGU
rnacentral:rRNA from 1 species